rnacentral:rRNA from 1 species
UACAGAGGGUGCAAACGUUGUUCGGAAUUACUGGGCGUAAAGCGUGUGUAGGCGGUCCACUAAGUCGGGUGUGAAAGCCCUGGGCUCAACCCAGGAAGUGCACUCGAAACUGGCGGGCUAGAGUAUCGGAGAGGUUGGUGGAAUUCUCGGUGUAGAGGUGAAAUUCGUAGAUAUCGAGAGGAACACCGGUGGCGAAGGCGGCCAGCUGGACGAAUACUGACGCUGAGACACGAAAGCGUGGGGAGCAAACAGG